GUACAGUAUGUCAUUACACAGACAAACCACAAUUCCCAACACCCUCUGCAGCUGCUCAGGAGAUCAGGUGCACAUCACAUGACCGAUUUCAAGUGGGACAGUGUGACAGUUGAAAGUGAGCAGCAGUUUAAGCACUUAAGCUUAGGUGAGAGGAUGUAGCAGGGAGUGCUGAGGCAGCUCUUCCCUGGAUAUUAGCCGUGAGUGGCCAUCUUGGGAACAGAGAGAGAGGAGAGAGGAACUCCUGUGAUAUCUCUGCAUUGACACCACAAAGAUAUUCCACAACUGAUGUUUUUACAAUGGAAUCAUUUUAGUAUGACAGGAGAAGCAUUCUAUAUUCAUGAUGCAUCAAGCUUUUUGCAACUUGAAUAGUAAUUUAGUGCUGCAUACUCCAUCAAUGCCGCAAAUACAAAUAAGAAACAGACAGUCACAAAUAGAUCCAUGGCAGUGACAUACGAAACUCGUGUGAGAUUGCAUAGCAAUUUGCCAGAUGUGAUAGGCUGUCAGCUGGAAGGUGUCUACAUUACUCAAUGUUAACUUCUAUAUUGUUGGCACCUUGCUGAAACCUCCCAAAAUCUUGUCCAACCUACAACAAGUUUCAUAAGAUGUGGCAUGUUUGGAUUUUGACCUCAUGAGCUCUAUAUACACAGCACAACCCAGAAAGAAGGCCCCAGCUAAAUGCAACAAAGCACCACAGGACGAUGGAGUAGUAACUGCCCAUGUCAUACAUCUUCAUACUGUCCUGUUCCAUUCAUUGUGGAGGCAGAGCCGGAGGAGGAGCACAUAAUCCGCUACUGCUUCAGAGCAGACAACACUAAGGACCUUUCAGCCCACACAGGACUCCCAGGAGGACAUGGCCCCCGAACCACACACCCAACCAAGUAUUUCACAAGAUAUUAGCAUAUUUGAGGAGUUCUGCCAGGUCUCCGGGAUGAUGAGGCCCAAAGCUUGAGGUGAGAUGGAUGAGGGAGCCAAACUUCAGGUCCUGCUGGGAUCUGCAAGUCGCCAUGAAGCACAGGGUAGUGAUCAGCCUAUCCUCAGCAGGUAUGACACUCCACAGCCUGGUAUCCUGCCUCCAGAUGUAGGGCAUCACCAGACCCAGCAACUCCUGGAAGGUGACGUCAUCCAUUUGCAGAAAAUUCCGGUAGUCAUCCAGAAUAUUCUCACAAAUCUCCAUAAGCAUGUGAGAACGAGAGAGAAUCCCUGUGCAUCAGCCACUCCUUCAUCCAGCAUGGGCAAAACCUUCUCCUAUUCUGGGCCCUCUCCCUAUCAAUUAGCACCAGAGCCGCAGCAUACUGUAUGAUACUAAAACAUCAUAGCAAAAGGAAUCCAUCAAAAGAGUAAGAAGUAGACACAGGCAAGUCAAAAACAAAGCAGAGCAAUCUAGCAAUGUAACAACAUUCAGCAGGCAUAACCUAACAUAACUAGCCACAGAGCAUAAAUAAAAUGAUGAAAAAUGUCCGCCACCAUUUAUCCCCUCUCUGAAAUUCCUGUCGGUCGAUUCCUGUACAGUAUAUUGUUUGGUUGUUUGUAAUAUUGCUCACUGUGUAUGCACAAUAUCAUUUGUCCGGGACUCCUGUAAGUUCAAGUGAAAUCUUUCAACGUUAUCGCUCAAGGAGCAUAUCAUCCAGUGGUAUGGGGCUUA